rnacentral:tRNA from 1 species
UGCCGGCUUGGCGGAAUAGGCAGACGCACAGGACUUAAAAUCCUGCGAUGGGGACAUCGUACCGGUUCGAUCCCGGUAGCCGGCAU